rnacentral:rRNA from 1 species
UAGGGAAUCUUCGGCAAUGGACGAAAGUCUGACCGAGCAACGCCGCGUGAGUGAAGAAGGUUUUCGGAUCGUAAAACUCUGUUGUUAGAGAAGAACAAGGACGUUAGUAACUGAACGUCCCCUGACGGUAUCUAACCAGAAAGCCACGGCUAACUACGUGCCAGCAGCCGCGGUAAUACGUAGGUGGCAAGCGUUGUCCGGAUUUAUUGGGCGUAAAGCGAGCGCAGGCGGUUUCUUAAGUCUGAUGUGAAAGGCCCCGGCUCAACCGGGGAGGGUCAUUGGAAACUGGGAGACUUGAGAGCAGAAGAGGAGAGUGGAAUUCCAUGUGUAGCGGUGAAAUGCGUAGAUAUAUGGAGGAACACCAGUGGCGAAGGCGGCUCUCUGGUCUGUAACUGACGAUGAGGCACGAAAGCGUGGGGAGCAAACAGG